GCACCUGUGGCCUAAUGGUUAGAGCGUCCGUCUCGGAUACGAGAGAUCGCGGGUUCGAAUCUUGGCCGCGUCAUGCU